CACGACAUAUCCGAAAGCAGCUGCACCGCGCGCGCGCUCACUCAGAUCCGAGGUUUGGAAGAAAAACGGAAAACCCAGUGGAACACCAAUGCCGACGGUGACGGCCGACGCCAGGAUAGCGGCCACGGGCUUGAAGCGAGGGCAACCCGGCUCUUGUCCCAAGAAAGGAAUCCGCUCCCCGCUGCCCUCCACGGUGGCUGCACGCUGAGCCCCAACUUUCCCAGGAGUGUGCAGCGCACGAUCCGGGGCCUGUAGGCGGCUCACUUCAACCCCGACCACGCUGCCGUGUGUUGCACUCAAGAGUGACGUUUCCGCUCCCCGUGUCCAG